rnacentral:rRNA from 1 species
GGGGAAUUUUGGACAAUGGGCGCAAGCCUGAUCCAGCCAUUCCGCGUGCAGGAUGAAGGCCCUCGGGUUGUAAACUGCUUUUGUACGGAACGCAAAGGUGCCGGUUAAUACCUGGCGCUCAUGACGGUACCGUAAGAAUAAGCACCGGCUAACUCUGUGCCAGCAGCCGCGGUAAUACAGAGGGGGCAAGCGUUGUCCGGAUUUACUGGGCGUACAGCGCGCGCAGGCGGCCGUGUAUGUGACCGGUGACAGUCGCGGGCUCAACCCGCGCCGGCCCGGUUACACAGCAUCGCUGGAGGCAGGGAGAGGGAUGUGGAAUACCCGGUGGAGCGGUGAAAUGCGUAGAGAUCGGGUGGAACACCAGCGGCGAAGGCGGCAUCCUGGCCCUGUACUGACGCUGAGGCGCGAUAGCGUGGGGAGCAAA